rnacentral:rRNA from 1 species
AACGAACGCUGGCGGCAUGCCUAACACAUGCAAGUCGAACGAGACCUUCGGGUCUAGUGGCGCACGGGUGCGUAACGCGUGGGAACCUGCCCUUAGGUUCGGAAUAACUCCCCGAAAGGGGUGCUAAUACCGGAUAAUGUCUUCGGACCAAAGAUUUAUCGCCGUUGGAUGGGCCCGCGUUGGAUUAGCUAGUUGGUAGGGUAAAAGCCUACCAAGGCGACGAUCCAUAGCUGGUCUGAGAGGAUGAUCAGCCACACUGGGACUGAGACACGGCCCAGACUCCUACGGGAGGCAGCAGUGGGGAAUAUUGGACAAUGGGCGAAAGCCUGAUCCAGCAACGCCGCGUGAGUGAUGAAGGCCUUAGGGUUGUAAAGCUCUUUUACCCGGGAUGAUAAUGACAGUACCGGGAGAAUAAGCGCCGGCUAACUCCGUG